rnacentral:rRNA from 1 species
CCUACGGGUGGCAGCAGUGAGGAAUAUUGGUCAACGGGCGAGAGCCUGAACCCUCCCCGUCGCUCUCCUUCUUCCUUCCCUCCUUUUUUUCCCCUUCUUUUUUCCUGGAGCAAUUGGGUCCACGCGUGGGCUUAGCGAGAGUACCUGAAGAAAAAGCAUCGGCUAACUCCGUGCCAGCAGCCGCGGUAAUACGGAGGAUGCGAGCGUUAUCCGGAUUUAUUGGGUUUAAAGGGUGCGUAGGCGGAAUAUCAAGUCAGCGGUAAAAAUUCGGGGCUCAACCCCGUCGUGCCGUUGAAACUGAUGUUCUUGAGUGGGCGAGAAGUAUGCGGAAUGCGUGGUGUAGCGGUGAAAUGCAUAGAUAUCACGCAGAACUCCGAUUGCGAAGGCAGCAUACCGGCGCCCAACUGACGCUGAAGCACGAAAGCGUGGGUAUCGAACAGGAUUAGAUACCCGGGUAGUC